UACAAGCACACACACACGCACCCUCACACACAUACACGUACACACACACAGUCCAUUGGGUCCCAGAGUGAUUCAUUCUCUGACUAACUUUUCCCUUCCAUUCACCACACAAGUAACACAGGACAAUUUUAGGAUGUAUCGGCCCAGAAGCAGAAUGUGAAACAAAAAAAAGAAACAAUCUCUCGCCCAUUGAGGAACUUUCCCAAGUGGUGGGUGUGGACAGAACGGAGGAGACUGCUAGGGGAGAGGCCAGAGCAAAGAGACUCUUUCCAUGAUCCCAUUAUCAGACUAUGUGUUGUUUCAGACAGGGAAUGGGAAUGGCUAGAACAUAGACCAGCACUCCGGGAUGUUUCACAGCGAGGGUCACGCCAUGUUCCAAGUAUGGUGAGGUUCAGGACACAGGCUACACUGUGAUUUACUCCUGAAGAGUGCCUGUAGUUAUCUGAAGAUGCAUGGAUAAAACCCAGCCCCGCUGUCCUUCUCACUGACUACACUUUGAACGCAACCAGCUGACGUUCCAUCCAUGACCACGAGUCUGGAUUCGCCUCCCUCCCCAUCAAUUUCUAGAACGUAAAAACAUUCUGACCGUCCUGACCGGUCCUGCAAAGCAACCGGUUGGCCCGUAGUCGUUUCAUUAGUCACGUACAGCGCUCCUCGGGAAACCAGCUUCAGAUGACGUGCACAGCGAUCGAUGGAGAAGCGGAAUUGAGCACAGGGUGAAUCAUCCACAACCAAAUGAUCCCAACGCUAAUCCAACAGGUCCCAGCCUAUAUUAAAGAAAUAAAACCCUAAGCAGUGACUGAGUCACUGAGCAGUCUUCUGAGAUCUGCUUUUGGCCUAACAUUAAUCUCCAACACUUAUCUUCCCUGCCUCUCCUCUUUCCUCUUGUCUUUAGAGACAAUGAUCCAAUUAGUGGUUGGCUGGUUGCUGAUCCUGCUCCAGUUGCCUGGAGAUGUGAGCUGGUCUAAUUGCCUCCAUAAUUGCCAGGCAGGAAGGCUGAUACACCUGGAGCUCCAUCUACGGCAGCCAGGCAGCCGGGCCCAGGAGUAUCCUCUCCCCUCCCCUGUUUGACUCCGAGAGGUUGUGCACUGCAGUGUGAGGCCGGGGUGAGGAGACGUGCACAUGUAAACAGCCGAACGGGGUGUAACGUGCACACGCGCGCGCACGCUUAGAAACACCCACCCACAGCACAAUAGAGCUGGAGCACUAAUGAAGCUGCAGUCAUGAUCCGUGCCCGCUGCCAACCCACCGUCCCGGGGAAUGAUGGGUAAUCCACGGGGAGUUUGAGUUGGUUGCAGGGACUACUAAUGUUUUCUUUCUCCUUGUUUUUUUGUUGUUGUUUUUUUAACAAAUCUCUCGGUUCUCCCUCCAUCUUCGAGCGCUUGUGGUGAUGAGGUAUUACCAGUAAGUAUACGUGGAGGACAGAGGGUACAUUCCAGAAGGUUAUGUCAUAUUCCCGCCUCGCUCGGAUUCGGGUCUGACGUCUGUGAGCCGGUGGAAUCAUAAUAUCGUCAUAUUACCCCACAUCUGACGACAUCAGGUCAGUCCAAGCAGUUGUCCCAUCCUGUCCUAUGUCUGACCGAGGAGGAGCGCAGGAAGGCCAAUAGAUCCUGUUUGCCCAGACAAGGAGGUGGACGCAUUCUCUCCUCUCACGUUGCUCCAUUGCCAUGCAGACAGUGUGUCCGUCCCGCCCCUGCGUACGGCACGAUCGCAGUGUCUGGAUUGGUUCGUGUCUAUCACCCAGCCAGACAGACAGCCAGACAGCCAAUAAGUAAUAUGCAUAACCUCACUCGCGACUUCUGUCCUUUGUGUCCUCUGCCGUUGCCCGGUACUAAUUGAGUAUGCGUGGGACAAGGUGUGUCACUAAUAAUGGGCCCGUUAUGGUCAGCACCAAACACUGGGAAGGUGAAGGGAGGCCUGGAGGCUCCUCGGCAGGCUUGGAGGCUGAACGGGAACUCUGUGAAAGGCGUUUCGGGCAUCAGUGCUUUGGGCUGGAGUCCAACAUCGGUGUGCCUUCAAAGGUGGCUACCAGCCCGGCCGGCAUCUGGAGGAGAGAAGACCCAGGAGAAUACACACAUGACAUCUGAAUUUGGCUGAGCAGAGGCGAGAGGAGGAGGCGCAGGAGGAGAGAGGAGGAGCAGUGGGACCCAGCCCCAACCAGCCCAGGCUUGCAGGGACUUGUUAUUGCUGGUGUUGUAUUCAUCCCUUCACUCCUCGCCGGGGAGAGAGCGAAAGAGAGAGAGAGAGAGCGGUGAAGAGGCUGCAUCACUCUGGAGGACAGGGGUCUUGGAUGUCAGAGAUGUCUCGUCUCCAUCUUUUUAUUGCCUGUGGUGCCAUCUUUUUAAAAUGCCUGCGGAGCCACGGUCUCCACCUCCCUCGUGGGCUUGCCUCCGCUCUGUCUUUGCAACUGCUCUGUGGGGGAAAGGAGGAGUGGAGGAGAGAGGGAUCAUAGAAAUAUACACGCAUGUGUCUAUCCUGCUGUGCCUCCUGAGCAAGUAUGUUAACAACAAGAUAAAGGAUCACAUUGCGCAGGGGCCAUGAGAGAAUAUUUCCCAGCAUGCCUUGUGGGCUCUGAGCAUUUACAUAACAGUGUCCAACGGCAGGCUGGUGGUGUUUGAAUAUUAUCUGUUGAAGAUUGGUGUCUCAAACAAAAGCAGGGGGACUCAUCCUGUACUGUUGGAAGACAUAUACCAAACAGCCACUGCAUGAAAUACUGGUGUUACAGAGUAAUUGCAAAAGUUAGUUUGUUGGUUGUUAUUUCUCUGUUCAUGUGUUGAAGUUUAAACUGGUUGCUAGGUGAUGCGGGUGUAAUAUACAAAGUUUUAUUUACAUUUGUGCAGACCACAGAAGCGUUCCAAUGAACAGAUGACAUGUCAUGGAUGACGGGUUUCUAGCUCAGGGCUGCACAAACCUUUCCUGGAGAUCAAGAGAUCAACCGUCCUGUUGAUUUUCCACACAACCAUAGUUGUGACUAACCUGAUUUUCAUCCAGCUAAUUAUCUGAAUUAAGUGUGUAAGAUUAGGAUUGGAGAGAAGCUACAGGACGGUUACUCUUCAGGAACAGAGUAUCAAUCAAUCAAAUGUAUUUAUAAAG